rnacentral:rRNA from 1 species
UACGUAGGCAGCGAGCGUUGUUCGGAGUUACUGGGCGUAAAGGGUGCGUAGGUGGCCUGAAAAGUUUGAUGUGAAAGCUCAGGGCUUAACCCUGAAAUGGCAUUGAAUACUGUCGGGCUGGAGGUUUGGAGGGGGGACUGGAAUUCUUGGUGUAGCAGUGAAAUGCGUAGAUAUCAAGAGGAACACCAGUGGCGAAGGCGAGUCCCUGGACAACACCUGACACUGAGGCACGAAAGCUAGGGGAGCAAACAGG